rnacentral:rRNA from 1 species
AGUCUUUUAAUUGGAGGCUUGUAUGAAUGGUUGAACAAAAAACAAACUGUCUAUAACAUAAUUUGUUGAAUUUAACUUUUAAGUAAAAAGGCUUAAAUAAAUUAAAGUGACGAUAAGACCCUAUAAAACUUAAUAAUUGAAAUUGUAAAAGUAUAUUAGUUGUUUAAAAUUUUUUUAAUAUAUUUUAUUUUAUUGGGGCGAUAGAAAUAUAAAAGGUAGCUGUUUUGUUAUUUAAAUAAUUAUUAUUAGAGAUUAGUUUGUUCCUUUAAUAGAGAUUAUAAGAUUAAGUUACUUU